rnacentral:lncRNA from 1 species
ACAUAAAUUUGGUAUUUAUCAAUUAAAUAUAAUUGGUGGGUCCAAUAUUUAUUUUGGAGGUUAUAUUAUCAAAAUAAAACUUUCAAAGUUGGUGUCGAGAACUCCCUAUGUCGAAGCAGAAAAGNNNNNNNNNNNNNNNNNNNNNNNNNNNNAAUGGAGGAGCGUCCAGAUGAUCGAAGAACAGUUACCACUUUGUAGUAGUAUUUAUAGUAGUUUUUCAUUCAGAACAAGGGUCACAAAAUUUAUACAAACAUUCUCUCUAAAAAUUCUAAGUACUCAGCGACCGAACGAACGGAAUUCGAAGGAGAAAUGUAUGUUUUGUGAACCAUCUUUAUUUGUAAUUGUUUUUCAUUCAAUACAAUGCAAUUUGUUUUCCAGUAAUUCUUUCUAAGUCUGAAUCCAGAUACUUGCUUGAGAAACUGCUACUUCGAGGCGAUUCGAAUUAGUUUCUCUUGUAUGCUUUAAAACAUUUUAAUUCCUAAGUGUUCGUUUCUUUAUUCAAACGAACCUUCAAACAGUUUUCUUGAAACGAACAAACACAAAAUUGUCCUGAGAUUUACUAGUUGAUCUCGCGAGUUUAAAUACUUAAACUAGCGGUUGUUUACCAAAUUCCAACGUAAACAA